rnacentral:ncRNA from 1 species
GUAAAAGCGUUGAAGAGAACGAGUAGCUUUAAUGGAACUUACAGAAAGUAGCCGGUUGUUGAGAGGCGCAAGGAAAGUUAUUGUGAAUACAUCUUGGAGCUGCGUACCGAACUUAUAGUAGGCUACGACGGAGUUGCAUCCGUAAUCAAUGCAUGGGUAUCGCAUAUAGCCGUACUUAUUGAGGAGAGUUAUGUGAAUAGCUCUCAAAUAAAGGUGGUAACACGUUCACACACGUCCUUUAG